rnacentral:rRNA from 1 species
AAGUGGUAGGAAGCCGAAAGGUGACCGGACCCUUCGGGGAGCUUGCACAGGUGCUGCAUUGGCUGUCGUCAGCUCGUGUCGUGAGAUGUUCGGUUAAGUCCGCUUAACGAGCGCAACCCUCGCUGUGUGUUAUAUGUGUCACACGGGACUGCCGGUCUUAAGCCGGAGGAAGGUGGGGAUGAUGUCAAGUCAGCAUGGCCUUUAUAUCCUGGGCUACACACACGCUACAAUGGCCAACACAAUAGGUUGCUAAGCCGCGAGGUGGCGCCAAGUCCAUAAAGUUGGUCUCAGUUCAGAUUGUAGGCUGCAACCCGCCUGCAUGAAGAUGGAGUUGCUAGUAACCGCAGGUCAGCUAUACUGCGGUGAAUACGUUCCCGGGCCUU